ACAAAACAUAUGUGUGUUUAAGUGUGUAUUUAGUGUGUGUACUAAAUACACACUUAAACACACAUAUGUUUU
rnacentral:pre_miRNA from 1 species